CCUACGGGAGGCAGCAGUGGGGAAUAUUGGGCAAUGGGCGCAAGCCUGACCCAGCAACGCCGCGUGAAGGAAGAAGGCUUUCGGGUUGUAAACUUCUUUUCUCAGGGACGAAGCAAGUGACGGUACCUGAGGAAUAAGCCACGGCUAACUACGUGCCAGCAGCCGCGGUAAUACGUAGGUGGCAAGCGUUAUCCGGAUUUACUGGGUGUAAAGGGCGUGUAGGCGGGGACGCAAGUCAGAUGUGAAAACCACGGGCUCAACCUGUGGCCUGCAUUUGAAACUGUGUUUCUUGAGAACUGGAGAGGCAGACGGAAUGCCUGGUGUAGCGGUGAAAUGCGUAGAUAUUAGGAGGAACACCAGUGGCGAAGGCGGUCUGCUGAACAGCAACUGACGCUGAGGCGCGAAAGCGUGGGGAGCAAACAGGAUUAGAUACCCGUGUAGUC
rnacentral:rRNA from 1 species